GCACUCGCGUCUCACUGCUGUGCGGCAGGGCAGGUAUAACCGUCAGGCUCAAGCCACGGCUUCGUAGCAAGCUUCCUGUCGCAACGUCUCUACAGAGGCUGCUGAAGUGCCUGAAAGGGGUUAUGUACUGGAUCCCAGGCUGGCUGUUGUCUGAAGUCUGGAGGAAGCAAAGGAUUCUCUAGGGACUCUGACCUUGUGGGAGCAAGUGACUGGUUUGAAAGUCAGUGUGACGCUGUUGCUGGGAACAGAUCAGGAAUGCAGACAGACACUAACAGAAGUUCUGAGACUGUAAGUAACCAAAAGGAAAUCUAGCUAAAGUGGCUGAUAAAAAUAAGCUGUGCUCAAUGGAAUGUAUACUCCUGUUUUGUGUCUUUUUGUAGGUUAAGAUGUAGCCUAUAGGGAUUCAUGAUGUUUUGAAUCUGAUGUGAUCAUUCUUAC